AACGUAGGAGACAAACGUUAUCCGGAGUUACUGGGCGUAAAGGGCGUGUAGGUGGUUUCGUAAGUCUGGCGUGAAAUUUCUCGGCUUAACCGAGGCAGGUCGUCGGAUACUGCGGAACUUGAGGACGGUAGAGGCGUGUGGAAUUCCGAGUGUAGAGGUGAAAUUCGUAGAUAUUCGGAAGAACACCAGUGGCGAAGGCGACACACUGGGCCAUUACUGACGCUGAGGCGCGAAAGCGUGGGGAGCAAACAGG
rnacentral:rRNA from 1 species